AUCGCUUCUCGGCCUUUUGGCUAAGAUCAAGUGUAGUAUCUGUUCUUAUCAGUUUCAUGCCAGUGGAGAGUCACGCCGGUGUGGGGCCGGUGGGGAUGGGUGCUGCAUGGAGGGGGCAGGUGUUCCGGUGCCACAACACCAGCUCAAAGGCUGCCCUGAUGUGACCUGUUUCCUCCGGGUCUCGCCAU